rnacentral:rRNA from 1 species
GAUGAACGCUGGCGGCGUGCCUAAUACAUGCAAGUCGAGCGAACAGACGAGGAGCUUGCUCCUCUGACGUUAGCGGCGGACGGGUGAGUAACACGUGGAUAACCUACCUAUAAGACUGGGAUAACUUCGGGAAACCGGAGCUAAUACCGGAUAAUAUAUUGUACCGCAUGGUUCAAUAGUGAAAGACGGUUUUGCUGUCACUUAUAGAUGGAUCCGCGCUGCAUUAGCUAGUUGGUAAGGUAACGGCUUACCAAGGCAACGAUGCGUAGCCGACCUGGGAGGGUGAUCGGCCACACUGGAACUGAGACACGGUCCAGACUCCUACGGGAGGCAGCAGUAGGGAAUCUUCCGCAAUGGGCGAAAGCCUGACGGAGCAACGCCGCGUGAGUGAUGAAGGUCUUCGGAUCGUAAAACUCUGUUAUUAGGGAAGAACAAAUGUGUAAGUAACUAUGCACGUCUUGACGGUACCUAAUCAGAAAGCCACGGCUAACUACGUG